rnacentral:lncRNA from 1 species
UGCAAAUUAGAUGCAGAAAAAAGUACGAAGGGAGUAAGAUGCGUUACGUCAAAGAAGUUUUAUACAGAAAAAUGCACUUAAAUGUGGUCGAUUUUGAUUAUUGCAAACACCGAGAAGGUACCGAUACUUCCCUAGAAUCUUAAUAGGCAAAUUAGCUGAUGCGUGAUGUAGCUCAAACGAAAUCAAAAUUAAUUCAGGUGUAAAAUUAUGAACACAACAAAUCGAGGACACCAGUUAGAAUGGUGUCCUCGAGGAUCAAGAAAGUGCUUUAUAAUUCUGAAAUGUAUGAAAAUAUUACAGACGUAACGGCCCGUACAUGGAAGGAAACGUUUGUUUUGAGUCAAAGUUUACAACAGGACAUUCUUCCAAUAGAGAGUGCACUUACUAUCAGGUAGUAAAGGUGAAAUUAAGGCAUUAUGAAAAACUCAACAAUAAUUACAAUUCAGUCUGGUAGGUAAUCAGUAUCAAUAUCAAUCACAUCUUGCCACUUUUGUUGCAAAUUUUCAGUCCUGUGAACAUAGACUUUCUUCAAAGAAAAAUCCAUUAUUCUAAGCAUCAGGUAGUGUCAUUGAACUGUAUACAGGUAUAUCUUGAGUUAUGUCAUUCUUGAUUAUACGUCGUUUGUCAAAAAAAUAUAUGGAAAAAUAAAAAUCAAGUUUGAGUCAUUUUAUUCAACUUUAUGUCUGUCUGCCACAAAUAUUGAAGUCAUAAUAUCAGUA